rnacentral:lncRNA from 1 species
UAUAAAGCUAAAGCACGGCCAUCCGUCUAAUAGAAUUAGCACAUGUAGGUCGUUGCACAGCUUUCGGACAUUUGGAGUGCUUGAUUUAGCGACGCACUGACUCAUAUGGAGGACCCUGUUGAUCCCGAAACUAACGAUCUGGCGCGGUAUGGCUUGUUUUCCGCUGCAUUAGGCCCGAGGUCAUCCAGGGUUCGAGACUUGUGACUCUUUCCUGGACAAGUCACAGUCCCUGAACCAUGUUUACUUUAAGUUUGCAUUUGUAAUGUUUAGACAAAGUUAUGGUUGUUGGGUGUUAACCCGUUAAGACAAUGUUUAAUAUUUUUAUUAUCAAUGGAUGAUCUUGCAUAUUU